rnacentral:tRNA from 15 species
GGUAUUUUAGCUCAGUUGGUAGAGCAACGGACUGAAAAUCCGUCUGCCCCGGUUCAAUUCCGGGAGAUACCACCU